rnacentral:rRNA from 1 species
UACGGAGGGUGCGAGCGUUGUCCGGAAUCAUUGGGCGUAAAGAGCGUGUAGGCGGCCAGAUAAGUCCGCUGUGAAAUCUCGAGGCUCAACUUCGAGCUGUCGGUGGAAACUGUUUGGCUAGAGUCCGGAAGAGGAGAAUGGAAUUCCUGGUGUAGCGGUGAAAUGCGCAGAUAUCAGGAGGAACACCAGCGGCGAAGGCGCUGCUCUGGGCCGGUACUGACGCUGAGGAGCGAAAGCGUGGGGAGCGAACAGG